UUGUUUUGAGCACUCGACUGUACUUGUUUGGGUCUCAUCUGUAGACUCUCUCCAUACUGUUUCACAUGAUUCUUGCGUAGGUGGUAAAAGAGGUUAGUGGUGUUUGAGCCUGUUGUCGGGACCGUGUAGGUGGUAAGAGGUUAGUGGUGUUUGAGCCUGUUGUCGGGACCGUGUAGGUGGUAAGAGGUUAGUGGUGUUUGAGCCUGUUGUCGGGACCGUGUAGGUGGUAAGAGGUUAGUGGUGUUUGAGCCUGUUGUCGGGACCGUGUAGGUGGUAAGAGGUUAGUGGUGUUUGAGCCUGUUGUCGGGACCGUGUAGGUGGUAAAAGAGGUUAGUGGUGUUUGAGCCUGUUGUCGGGACCGUGUAGGUGGUAAAAGAGGUUAGUGGUGUUUGAGCCUGUUGUCGGGACCGUGUAGGUGGUAAAAGAGGUUAGUGGUGUUUGAGCCUGUUGUCGGGACCGUGUAGGUGGUAAAAGAGGUUAGUGGUGUUUGAGCCUGUUGUCGGGACCGUGUAGGUGGUAAAAGAGGUUAGUGGUGUUUGAGCCUGUUGUCGGGACCGUGUAGGUGGUAAGAGGUUAGUGGUGUUUGAGCCUGUUGUCGGGACCGUGUAGGUGGUAAAAGAGGUUAGUGGUGUUUGAGCCUGUUGUCGGGACCGUGUAGGUGGUAAAAGAGGUUAGUGGUGUUUGAGCCUGUUGUCGGGACCGUGUAGGUGGUAAAAGAGGUUAGUGGUGUUUGAGCCUGUUGUCGGGACCGUGUAGGUGGUAAAAGAGGUUAGUGGUGUUUGAGCCUGUUGUCGGGACCGUGUAGGUGGUAAAAGAGGUUAGUGGUGUUUGAGCCUGUUGUCGGGACCGUGUAGGUGGUAAAAGAGGUUAGUGGUGUUUGAGCCUGUUGUCGGGACCGUGUAGGUGGUAAAAGAGGUUAGUGGUGUUUGAGCCUGUUGUCGGGACCGUGUAGGUGGUAAAAGAGGUUAGUGGUGUUUGAGCCUGUUGUCGGGACCGUGUAGGUGGUAAAAGAGGUUAGUGGUGUUUGAGCCUGUUGUCGGGACCGUGUAGGUGGUAAAAGAGGUUAGUGGUGUUUGAGCCUGUUGUCGGGACCGUGUAGGUGGUAAAAGAGGUUAGUGGUGUUUGAGCCUGUUGUCGGGACCGUGUAGGUGGUAAAAGAGGUUAGUGGUGUUUGAGCCUGUUGUCGGGGCCUGCGGCAUAUUUUUGCAGAGGACGGUUUUCUGGUCUGUGUCAAACUUUUCAUACCCAAACCACGUCCACGUGACCUUAGUAUCCCC